GUGUGUAUUUUGUGAAAUGCUAUAGUUGAAUAUUUUAGUUUUUUUCAAAAUAUGCUCAU
rnacentral:pre_miRNA from 1 species